rnacentral:rRNA from 1 species
UACGUAGGGUGCAAGCGUUAAUCGGAAUUACUGGGCGUAAAGCGUGCGCAGGCGGCUUUGCAAGACAGAUGUGAAAUCCCCGGGCUCAACCUGGGAACUGCAUUUGUGACUGCAUCGCUCGAGUGUGGCAGAGGGGGAUGGAAUUCCGCGUGUAGCAGUGAAAUGCGUAGAUAUGCGGAGGAACACCGAUGGCGAAGGCAAUCCCCUGGGCCUGCACUGACGCUCAUGCACGAAAGCGUGGGGAGCAAACAGG